rnacentral:lncRNA from 1 species
AUAAAAAAAAAUAUACACAACCUAGCAGUAGCAAAAAUACAGAAAUCAAAUAAAGAAAAAAGGAUAAUAACGUAAACAUAGAAGUGAGAUAAGCAAAAUAAGCUUUUGCCUCGUAGCUUCAGCCGUCUAAGCUUUUGUCACCGGAAAAGUCGAAACAUUCAACUUUGAACACAGACAAACUGGGUAAUAAAUACGAACUCAAAUACCCAAGAUUAACCAUUCAUAUAUAUAGAGAUAGAUCAAAAAAUACACAGAGAAAAAAAAUCAAUAAACCCACAAACAACAACAAUAAUCCAGUAUAAUACCACUUAGAAGGGUCUGGUGAGGGUAGUGUGUAAGCAGACAUUACCUCUACCUUGGGCAGAGAAUCUGUUUCCAAAUAAAACUCCGGCAUCCUUCACUUCACAUCAAGAACUUAGCACCUUGCUUUUGGGUAAGUUGUAAGUUAUUUUGCUUAACAUCAGAGCAACACUCUUGUCUUAAAUAUACAAAAUAUCACAAAAUUUUAGGAAAUAGAAACUAACCCAAUUUGGAGAGCAAGUAGAAUGAGAAACAGGCCUAGGACAUGGGUUCUUUGACGGAAAUAAAAAUCUUGGAAGAAAUCGCUGUUAAUUUCUUGAAUUUGGGUAUACUUAUGGUUACUUUUGAGGGAAAAUGAGUGAAAGGGAGAGAACCUUUG